AUGCAUGGUACAGAUGGUGUUACUUGUUGUUCUAGGUGUGAUGAUCUCAACAUUUUUGCUUGGCGCUGCUAUAAAGUGUUUUAUUGGGAGCAGUUCCAUUAUGAUAAUCAAAAUGGAAUGAUUGACAUAGUGUACAGAUUACAAGUCUCUUUGGGCUUUAGAAUUGUUGCCCUGGGCCUUGCAUUUGGAAUCGCAUCUCUACUAUGGCUGGGCUUUAUUUUCGAUGGUACAAUCAUACAGAUUUCACUAACACUCACAGUCAGAUAUAUGGCUUUCUUCACUAUAAGACAAUCAGAUAACAGGCACUAUUUUUAUCUCUAG
rnacentral:rRNA from 1 species